GUCGAACGAUAGAUGAGAGCUUGCUCUCAUCGAAAGUGGCGCACGGGUGCGUAACGCGUAUGCAACCUACCUUUAUCAGGGGGAUAGCCCGGAGAAAUCCGGAUUAAUACCGCAUAAUAUCAUUUUAUAGCAUUAUAUUAUGAUCAAACAUUUAUGGGAUAAAGAUGGGCAUGCGUGUCAUUAGCUAGUUGGCGGGGUAACGGCCCACCAAGGCGACGAUGACUAGGGGAUCUGAGAGGAUGGCCCCCCACACUGGUACUGAGACACGGACCAGACUCCUACGGGAGGCAGCAGUAAGGAAUAUUGGUCAAUGGAGGCAACUCUGAACCAGCCAUGCCGCGUGCAGGAAGACUGCCCUAUGGGUUGUAAACUGCUUUUAUCCGGGAAUAAACCUACUUACGUGUAAGUAGCUGAAUGUACCGGAAGAAUAAGGAUCGGCUAACUCCGUGCCAGCAGCCGCGGUAAUACGGAGGAUCCAAGCGUUAUCCGGAUUUAUUGGGUUUAAAGGGUGCGUAGGCGGCCUGUUAAGUCAGGGGUGAAAGACGGUAGCUCAACUAUCGCAGUGCCCUUGAUACUGAUGGGCUUGAAUGGACUAGAGGUAGGCGGAAUGAGACAAGUAGCGGUGAAAUGCAUAGAUAUGUCUCAGAACACCGAUUGCGAAGGCAGCUUACUAUGGUCUUAUUGACGCUGAGGCACGAAAGCGUGGGGAUCAAACAGGAUUAGAUACCCUGGUAGUCCACGCCCUAAACGAUGAACACUCGCUGUUGGCGAUACACAGUCAGCGGCUAAGCGAAAGCG
rnacentral:rRNA from 1 species